rnacentral:rRNA from 1 species
UAACUGCGAGUGAAGUGGCAAAAGCUCAAAUUUGAAAUCCGGUACCCCUGGUGCCUGAGUUGUAAUUUGGAGAGACUAAUUUGCAUAUGGCGCCGGCCUAGGUUCCUUGGAACAGGACAACAUAGAGGGUGAGAAUCCCGUUCCUGGCUGGACUGCUGUUUUGCGAUAAAUUGUCUUCGACGAGUCGAGUUGUUUGGGAAUGCAGCUCAAAAUGGGUGGUAAAUGUCAUCUAAAGCUAAAUAUUGGCGAGAGACCGAUAGCGCACAAGUAGAGUGAUCGAAAGAUGAAAAGCACUUUGAAAAGAGAGUCAAAAAGUACGUGAAAUUGCUGAAAGGGAAGCGCUUGAGACCAGACUCGAGCCGUGGUGAUCAGUCGUGCUUCUGUAUGGUGUCACUUGCCACGGUUUGGGCCAGCAUCGGUUUCGGCGGCCGGAUAAAAGUUGGGGGAAUGUAGCUUCCUUCGGGGAGUGUUAUAGCCCCCAUCACAAUGCGGUCAGCUGGGAUCGAGGACCGCGCUCUAGGGCUAGGAUGCUGGCGUAAUGGUCUUAAGCGACCCGUCUUGAAACACGGACCAAGGAGUCUAACAUCUAUGCGAGUGUUCGGGUGAAAAACCCUUGCGCGUAAUGAAAGUGAACGGAGGUGGGAACUCGGAAA